GUGGGGAAUUUUGGACAAUGGGCGCAAGCCUGAUCCAGCCAUUCCGCGUGCAGGAUGAAGGCCUUCGGGUUGUAAACUGCUUUUGUACGGAACGAAAAGCCUCUGGUUAAUACCCGGGGGUCAUGACGGUACCGUAAGAAUAAGCACCGGCUAACUACGUGCCAGCAGCCGCGGUAAUACGUAGGGUGCGAGCGUUAAUCGGAAUUACUGGGCGUAAAGCGUGCGCAGGCGGUGAUGUAAGACAGUUGUGGAAUCCCCGGGCUCAACCUGGGAACUGCAUCUGUGACUGCAUUGCUGGAGUGCGGCAGAGGGGGAUGGAAUUCCGCGUGUAGCAGUGAAAUGCGUAGAUAUGCGGAGGAACACCGAUGGCGAAGGCAAUCCCCUGGGCCUGCACUGACGCUCAUGCACGAAAGCGUGGGGAGCAAACAGGAUUAGAAACCCCGGUAGUCC
rnacentral:rRNA from 1 species